rnacentral:sRNA from 1 species
AGGCUGCGAUGUCACUCCUCUCCUCCUCCCUGGAGUGGCGUCGGACGAACCUAAGGGCCUCCUCCUCCUCCCUGAGGCCUUAGGUAGAAAAAGACGGCGGCGCCCCUCCUCCUCCCUGGGUGCCGUCGUUUUUU